rnacentral:rRNA from 1 species
AUUGAACGCUGGCGGCAGGCCUAACACAUGCAAGUCGAACGGUAACAGGGAUCAGCUUGCUGGUUCGCUGACGAGUGGCGGACGGGUGAGUAAUGUCUGGGAAACUGCCUGAUGGAGGGGGAUAACUACUGGAAACGGUAGCUAAUACCGCAUAACGUCGCAAGACCAAAGAGGGGGACCUUCGGGCCUCUUGCCAUCGGAUGUGCCCAGAUGGGAUUAGCUAGUAGGUGGGGUAAUGGCUCACCUAGGCGACGAUCCCUAGCUGGUCUGAGAGGAUGACCAGCCACACUGGAACUGAGACACGGUCCAGACUCCUACGGGAGGCAGCAGUGGGGAAUAUUGCACAAUGGGCGCAAGCCUGAUGCAGCCAUGCCGCGUGUAUGAAGAAGGCCUUCGGGUUGUAAAGUACUUUCAGCGGGGAGGAAGGGAGUAAAGUUAAUACCUUUGCUCAUUGACGUUACCCGCAGAAGAAGCACCGGCUAACUCCGUG